AUUGAACGCUGGCGGCAGGCUUAACACAUGCAAGUCGAGCGGAGAUGAGGUGCUUGCACCUUAUCUUAGCGGCGGACGGGUGAGUAAUGCUUAGGAAUCUGCCUAUUAGUGGGGGACAACAUUCCGAAAGGAAUGCUAAUACCGCAUACGUCCUACGGGAGAAAGCAGGGGAUCUUCGGACCUUGCGCUAAUAGAUGAGCCUAAGUCGGAUUAGCUAGUUGGUGGGGUAAAGGCCUACCAAGGCGACGAUCUGUAGCGGGUCUGAGAGGAUGAUCCGCCACACUGGGACUGAGACACGGCCCAGACUCCUACGGGAGGCAGCAGUGGGGGAUAUUGGACAAUGGGCGGAAGCCUGAUCCAGCCAUGCCGCGUGUGUGAAGAAGGCCUUUUGGUUGUAAAGCACUUUAAGCGAGGAGGAGGCUACCUAGAUUAAUACUCUGGGAUAGUGGACGUUACUCGCAGAAUAGGCACCGGCUAACUCUGUGCCAGCCGCCGCAGUAAAAC
rnacentral:rRNA from 1 species